UCCGAGUUGUCCCCGGCAGUCCUCUUAGAGUCCUCGGCAUUGCCCGCUGUCACCCGUGAGAUGACAGGGAGGGUUUCGCCGAUAUGAGCCGGGUUGUCGGCGGAGGAUUGCUCCUCCGUGGGCCAUCUAUCAAAUAGCCAUGCAACACCUGUGCUAGCCCCUUACGGACACGGGCUUUCACCCGCUUUAACUAGCAUGUCAAACCCAGGUAAGGUUCUUCGCGUUGCAUCGAAUUAAGCCACAUGCUCCGCCGCUUGUGCGGGCCCCCGUCAAUUCCUUUGAGUUUUAGCCUUGCGGCCGUACUCCCCAGGCGGGGUGCUUAAUGCGUUAGCUUCGGCACGGAAAGGGUUGAAGACCUCCCCACACCUAGCACCCAACGUUUACGGCUGGGACUAC
rnacentral:misc_RNA from 1 species